rnacentral:rRNA from 1 species
UACGUAGGGUGCGAGCGUUGUCCGGAAUUACUGGGCGUAAAGAGCUCGUAGGUGGUUUGUCGCGUUGUUCGUGAAAACUCACAACUCAAUUGUGGGCGUGCGGGCGAUACGGGCAGACUGGAGUACUGCAGGGGAGACUGGAAUUCCUGGUGUAGCGGUGGAAUGCGCAGAUAUCAGGAGGAACACCCAUAGCGAAGGCAGCUUGCUGGGACGUAACUGACGCUAAGGCGCGAAAGCGUGGGGAGCGAACAGG